CAGUGCGCAUGCGCGAGGCCCGAGCCGCCGCUUGGGCCACAGUGAAAGCCACCGUUGCCCGGGGAUGGGUCCCUGACACUUGGCGAAGUAGCAGCCCUGUGUGAUCGUGCGUCUGAGUCUGGGCUGAGACCAGUCCUGGCCAGGGUAGUUACCAGGACGGUCUCCGGAGGCCGGGAUUCGCGGAGGGUCCACCAGCAGGAAGAAACCCCAGGAGGAAGAAACCUCAGACAGAUCGCCGGCGAGGCAGCGCGGGAUCCCAGCCUCAGGCGUGCGCGGACGGUGUGCGGGAUGGAUGCAGCAGAAAGGAAUGCUGAGGGAGGACUCCAGUUGGAAUGAGCCACUUUUCCAGGACUAGGAAUGAACUUUCCCCAAUACCAACAAGGCAGCCUCCAGGGCAAGAAAUGGUAACAGAAUCCAUCCUGUUGACAGUCAAGAUGGAAUUACAGAGAAUUCUCACCUCUUUUUUGACUCUCAGGUGGAAACCCCCUUCCCAUGGGGUGAAGCGCAGUCUGCUCCAGAGACCCACUGUUAGGGUCGGGGAUGUCACAGAAAUUAACAGGGCAGCCAAUUCCCAUCCAGAGGGGCCCAGGAUGACCCCGAACCCUCUAGCUCAGCCCCAAGCUCGGGCCAGGGAGUGAAGCCUUUGUCCCCAAGCAACAGAGUGAGGGUCUGUCUCUAACCCGGUGGGCUCCAGUGAAAGGAAAAUGGCCUGGAGGUGCCCACAGGAGGGCGCCCUAGUUCUGAGACAGGUCUACGGCUCCCAGACUGUGUCCCCAUGAGUAACAGAGGGACACGCAGAGGGGCAUACUGAGUGCCUAUAGGGGACUCACAGACUGCAGAUGCACGCUGCGGAUCCAGAAGCCGGUCAGCGCACACAACCAAGCUUAGGAGCCGACUGUUAAGAUGCCCCAGUGACACGGACAAGUUUCUCCUCUGCAACCCAAUGAGAGCUGCUGACCACGAGAGCAUCGCGGGACCGCCAAAGGAUUCUGGAAAAUGUGGUCCCGGGUGGCCAGUGUGCGCUGACCUUCACCUGAAGGUACGGCUUGAAGGAAACUUCUGGAGGGUGGGGUGGUGUUGAAGAGAAGGCACAAUUGUCACCAUUUUGUUCAACAUGGGCGUUUUCUUUGUGCAUUGAUUUGCAUUUUUAAAGGUAUUCCAUUAAAAAUAUGUUUAUCUAUUUUAA
ensembl:lncRNA novel transcript, antisense to ZNF383